ACAACGGCCCUUUUCAGGGCCACCAACAUUUUUCAAAAAGAAUCUU
rnacentral:ncRNA from 1 species